CACACCCAAAGAUGAAGAUCGAAACCAAAUGCAACCACAAGAAAAUUAUUAAGGGACAAGAAAAAAAAAAAAAGAGGACGAUUUAACCCCAAAUCCCCGUCAAACCCAACGGAAGAAGAAAAGGAAUGAGCUUGGCACAUGUUCUUCCAUAUAUAACAAUCAAGCCACCGAAUAAAAUCCGAAGGAUACCAUAAAAGAGUAUCUGUGCAAGGCACAUGUUCUUCCAUAUACAACAAUCAAAAUUAAAUUUUUAAAAAAUAAAAUACCACAGGAACCCU
rnacentral:lncRNA from 1 species